rnacentral:rRNA from 1 species
AGAGUGAACGCUGGCGGCAGGCCUAACACAUGCAAGUCGAACGGCAGCACAGAGGAGCUUGCUCCUUGGGUGGCGAGUGGCGGACGGGUGAGGAAAACGUCGGAAUCUGCCUAUUUGUGGGGGAUAACGUAGGGAAACUUACGCUAAUACCGCAUACGACCUACGGGUGAAAGCGGAGGACCUUCGGGCUUCGCGCAGAUAGAUGAGCCGACGUCGGAUUAGCUAGUUGGCGGGGUAAAGCCCACAAGGCGACGAUCCGUAGCUGGUCUGAGAGGAUGAUCAGCCACACUGGAACUGACGACACCGGUCCAGACCUCCGUAACGGAGGCAGCAGGUAGGGAAUAGUUGGACAAGUGGGCGACAAGCCUAGGACUACCGAGCCAGUCGCCGCGUGUGUAGAAGGAAGUCCCGUUGGUUAGUAAAGCUAACGUUUUCGG